ensembl:lncRNA
UCUUUCUCUGGCCUGAGGCAGGACGUCUCUGACAACCUGGUUCGCAGGGUUUAGUGGUUAAUAACAGUGAUAUAAUAUCGUUCAGCAGCAACACAGACAAACGCAGACUGUCUGCAUAUCUGAAACUGUUUUAGAUUCAGCACUGGAUCUUACGCUUUCUUUUCUGAUGGGGUACUGGAAUAUAUCAUCAACCCGAUAGAUGCCGUUGUGUAUUUAUAAUAGCAGCAUGUUAGCGAUCUGCUCAUUUCUAAUCUCUCUCAGUAGGAGAGCACUUGCCUUAAUGCACGGUCACAGCUUGACCUGGUCAGGGCAUGUGAGCACAGUUUAUCAUGAGUUCACACAUGUGUGUGUGUGUGUGUGUGUGUGUGUGUGUGUGUGUGUGUGUGUGUGUGUGUGUGUGUGUUCUCUUCUGAUAGCAAAUUACAUUAGUGGCAGAUUUAAUGCGUUCAUGUAUUGAAAACUCAGCACCAUCAUGGCUGCCCCACUGCUCAGACUAAUUUGGCAGAUGCUGUUAGUAUCGCUGCUAAACCCGAAUGUGAGCAAUGCAGCAUGCAGAAAAGGUGUGUAUUGCAGUUUGCAUGUGCGUGCUGCAACUAGUUGAUGUGUGGAGUUUUUCCUUAUUUUCCGACCAUAACCAAUAAUGCAAUAAUUCCUGUGAUCAUUACUAUGCUACCUACUGUUACAAUCCAUAGCAUUACUGCUACUAGAAUUACUAUCACCCUUACUUUUAAAAUGAAUACUACUGCUUAUGUUUUAUUACACCUAUGACUACCACUGUUACUGUCACUUUUACUAAUAAUAAUAUAACUACAAUUACUACUACUACAACUACUACUACUACUACUAAUAAUAAUAAUAAUAAUAAUAAUAAUAUCACUGUCACUCUUAGUUUUAUUCGCACUAAUUAUUAGUUUUAUUUCCAUUACUAGGACUACUUCUAUUACUAGUAUUGUCACCGUCACUUUUACUAGUACUAAUAUUACUACCAUUACUACUACUACCAAUGUCUCUCUCUUUUACUAGUACUAAUAGCCAAUAUUACUUUUACUACUACUAAUAAUAAUAAUUAUUAUUAUUAUUAAUAGUAGUAGUAGUAGUACUACUACUAACUACAACUCCA